rnacentral:siRNA from 1 species
UUCUCGCUGUGAAGAGUGUUUGUG